GUGGGGAAUCUUGCGCAAUGGGCGAAAGCCUGAUCCAGCCAUGCCGCGUGUGUGAAGAAGGUCUUCGGAUUGUAAAGCACUUUAAGUUGGGAGGAAGGGCAGUAAGUUAAUACCUUGCUGUUUUGACGUUACCGACAGAAUAAGCACCGGCUAACUUCGUGCCAGCAGCCGCGGUAAUACGAAGGGUGCAAGCGUUAAUCGGAAUUACUGGGCGUAAAGCGCGCGUAGGUGGUUUUGUAAGUUGGAGGUGAAAUCCCCGGGCUCAACCUGGGAACUGCCUCCAAAACUGCAUGACUAGAGUACGGUAGAGGGUAGUGGAAUUUCCUGUGUAGCGGUGAAAUGCGUAGAUAGAGGAAGGAACACCAGUGGCGAAGGCGACUACCUGGACUGAUACUGACACUGAGGUGCGAAAGCGUGGGGAGCAAACAGGAUUAGAUACCCGAGUAGUCC
rnacentral:rRNA from 1 species